UUCUGGUUGAUCCUGCCAGUAGUCAUAUGCUUGUCUCAAAGGUUAAGCCAUGCAGGUGUAAGUCCUACCUUGGGUCAUCCCUAAAAGGUGACAACUACGUGGUUAAACUGCGGAAGGCUCAGUAUAGCGGCCGCAAUCCUCAGGGUUGCCGAGCCCCAUUUUACAAGGAUAACUGUGGCAAUUCUAGAGCUAAUACAUGCCAGCACAGCCCUAAUCCACAGUUCCUUGUGGAAUGGGUUUCUUUAUUAGAAAAAGACUGAACGAGUUUCAACAACCCCUCAUCGAGGUGGCUUGCUUGGCUCGAAACAAACGUGACGAUUCAAUAUAACCAGCCCCACGAUCGCACGGUCUCAGUACCGGCGACUAAUUCUUUCGAACGUCUGCCUUAUCACACUGGCGAUGGUUUUUAAGGGGCGAGCCAUGGUGGUUACGGGUGACGGGGAAUCAGGGUUCGAUUCCGGAGAGGGAGCCUGAGAAAUUGCUACCACAUCCAAGGAAGGCAGCAGGCACGCAACUUACCCACUCCCGACACGGGGAGGUAGUGACGAUAAAUAACAAUACGGGACUCUUCCGAGGCCCCGUAAUUGGAAUGAGCACACUCUAAAUCCUUUAACUAGGAUCCAUUGGAGGGCAAGUCUGGUGCCAGCAGCCGCGGUAAUUCCAGCUCCAAUAGCGUAUAUUAAAGCUGUUGCGGUUAAAAAGCUCGUAGUUGGAUCUCAGUUCUCGGGCCGGUGGUCCACCGCAAUUCCGCGGUCGGAAUCUACUGCCGAUUUGCCCAGAACAAUUAUAAGCCGGCCUCUCUCGUUAUGCUCUUUACCGAGUGUCUCGGGUGGCCAGAUCGUUUACUUUGAAUAAAUCAAAGUGCUCAAAGCAGGUGAUGAGCUCUGCCUGAAUAAUACAGCAUGGAAUAAUGGAACAUGCCCUCGGUUCGAUUCUGUUGGUCUUACGAAUCCGAGGAAAUGAUUAAUAGGGACUGACGGGGGCAUCCGUAUUGCGGCGCGAGAGGUGAAAUUCUAGGACCGUCGCAAGACGCCCAACUGCGAAAGCAUUUGCCAAGAAUGUUUUCAUUAAUCAAGAACGAAAGUUAGAGGUUCGAAGGCGAUCAGAUACCGCCCUAGUUCUAACCAUAAAUGAUGCUAACCAGCAAUGUGCCGGCGUUCCUCCAAUGACCCGACACGCAGCUUCCGGGAAACCAAAGUCUUUGGGUUCCGGGGGAAGUAUGGUUGCAAAGCUGAAACUUAAAGGAAUUGACGGAAGGGCACCACCAGGAGUGGAGCCUGCGGCUUAAUUUGACUCAACACGGGAAAACUCACCCGGCCCGGACACUGGAAGGAUUGACAGAUUGAGAGCUCUUUCUUGAUUCAGUGGGUGGUGGUGCAUGGCCGUUCUUAGUUGGUGGAACGAUUUGUCUGGUUAAUUCCGAUAACGAACGAGACUCUAGCCUACUAAAUAGACGACCGACGGGCUCCGUCCCGUCCGGUCCGAUCUCUUCUUAGAGGGACAGGCGGCUUACAGCCGCACGAAACUGAGCAAUAACAGGUCUGUGAUGCCCUUAGAUGUCCGGGGCCGCACGCGCGCUACAAUGAAGGGAUCAGCAUGUGCUCUGGCCCCAGUCCGAAAGGACCGGGCAAUCCGCUGAAACCCCUUCGUGAUAGGGAUUGGGGCUUGAAACUAUUCCCCAUGAACGAGGAAUUCCCAGUAACCGCGGGUCAUAAGCUCGCGCUGAUUACGUCCCUGCCCUUUGUACACACCGCCCGUCGCUACUACCGAUUGAAUGAUUUAGUGAGGUCUUUGGACUGGUGUUCGCCGGGCCCCUUCACUGGGGACAUCCCGGCGUCACACGCUGGAAAGAUGACCGAACUUGAUUAUUUAGAGGAAGUAAAAGUCGUAACAAGGUUUCCGUAGGUGAACCUGCGGAAGGGAUCAAUAA
rnacentral:rRNA from 1 species